UGCAGUCGAGCGAACAGACGAGGAAGCUUGCUCCUCUGACGUUAGCGGCGGACGGGUGAGUAACACGUGGAUAACCUACCUAUAAGACUGGGAUAACUUCGGGAAACCGGAGCUAAUACCGGAUAACAUGUUGAACCGCAUGGUUCAACAGUGAAAGACGGUCUUGCUGUCACUUAUAGAUGGAUCCGCGCCGCAUUAGCUAGUUGGUAAGGUAACGGCUUACCAAGGCAACGAUGCGUAGCCGACCUGAGAGGGUGAUCGGCCACACUGGAACUGAGACACGGUCCAGACUCCUACGGGAGGCAGCAGUAGGGAAUCUUCCGCAAUGGGCGAAAGCCUGACGGAGCAACGCCGCGUGAGUGAAGAAGGUCUUCGGAUCGUAAAACUCUGUUAUUAGGGAAGAACAAAUGUGUAAGUAACUAUGCACGUCUUGACGGUACCUAAUCAGAAAGCCACGGCUAACUACGUGCCAGCAGCCGCGGUAAUACGUAGGUGGCAAGCGUUAUCCGGAAUUAUUGGGCGUAAAGCGCGCGUAGGCGGUUUUUUAAGUCUGAUGUGAAAGCCCACGGCUCAACCGUGGAGGGUCAUUGGAAACUGGAAAACUUGAGUGCAGAAGAGGAAAGUGGAAUUCCAUGUGUAGCGGUGAAAUGCGCAGAGAUAUGGAGGAACACCAGUGGCGAAGGCGACUUUCUGGUCUGUAACUGACGCUGAUGUGCGAAGCGUGGGGAUCAAACAGGAUUAGAUACCCUGGUAGUCCACGCCGUAAACGAUGAGUGCUAAGUGUUAGGGGGUUUCCGCCCCUUAGUGCUGCAGCUAACGCAUUAAGCACUCCGCCUGGGGAGUACGACCGCAAGGUUGAAACUCAAAGGAAUUGACGGGGACCCGCACAAGCGGUGGAGCAUGUGGGUUUAAUUCGAAGCAACGCGAGACCUUACCAAAUCUUGACAUCCUCUGAUCCCUCUAGAGAUAGAGUUUCCCUUCGGGGACAGAGUGACAGUGUGCAUGUGUCGUCAGCUCGUGUCGUGAGAUGUGGGUAGUCCGCACGAGCGCA
rnacentral:rRNA from 1 species